CCGGAGGCGGGAAUGGGGGUGUCGGUGGUGUUUAGCUGCUGGAGCGGAGGGUACGCGGGGAAGAGUAGGGGAGGGGGCCAAGUAGCCUCUCCUUUUAAUCGUCCAGCUCGCUGGUCUAGGCGGGUGUAGACCGGGGCAACGUUGACCGCGGCUGGCGCCACAACCGCCCUCCGCGGUUGUGCGGCGAGAGCCGGCACCUCGACGAGGGCGGCCCGGUGGGCUUGGGCAGGCAGCGGACGAGCGGAGGUCGUCGCAGAAGAGGCUUGUGUGUCGGCUGCCACCAUGCACGAACACGACCGCACCGGCGCCGAGGUGCUCCGGCACGAGCUGGGGCGGCCACAGCUCGGGAAGCGCGCGCGGGUGCGGCCGGAGGGGCGGAUGCGGAUGAUUCCGGUCCUGGUCCUCCGCUUGCUCCACUACGAGGUCCGGCACUGGCCGCACAACCUCGGCAAGUACCUCCACGACGACCUACCCAUGACGGAGCCACCUCCCAAACUCCCGCACCGGUACGAGCAGCUGCAGCCACCGUCGAGGCCGCGGAAGGAGCGCUACUAGUACUCGUCCCACGGGUGGUAGGCGGUCCCUGAGUUGAAGCUGAACGGUCUGCAGCAGCGGCGGCGCGGAGGGUAGAGACCACUCUGGUAGCUAGGGGGUUAGGCGACCGGAAGGACGGGCAACAACAACGGUAACAGGAGAGGGGACGAUAGAAGAGGAGUACUGUCUCGAAAUGGGCAGACUUAGAAAUCACUUCUUCCACGUCCGUACAUCGGUGCCCUCGUGCCCUGUCGAACUAGAUUUACCGUUCGAUUUCACGUCGUAAGCACAUGACUGUCAUUAUGAGAUCCGUGAUUUCGCGUUGCCAGCACACUACAAUCAUUAGAACAUGCAUGAUAUGCCACCCAUGAAUUGACGUCAGCAGCAGUGGCUGUCAUUAGAUCAUUCAACUUCGUCACUAACUUUCAACUUCGUCUGAUUGAUUGUUUGUUUAGCCGUCUUGUAUCGUGGUGUUAAAUGGCACUGUUACGGUGCUGGUUAGCAAUGGUGGUGGUGUGUGUCUUUUAGAUUUCUUUGUCUACAACAAAAACCAUAGUUGUAUACGUCCUCUGCUCACCCCAUUUGAUACGUAUUACGUGAGAACGACUAUGACCGAAGUUUUUUUAAUUGGUCAAUUCUCAAGUGUACGAUUAUGACUUCUAUAACACGGUAGGGGCAGGGAUGGAUUGUACCAUUUUUACCUUCCUAUCCGUGUUAAAAACGAUAUAAAAACAAUCAACCAAAACAUCAUGUGAAUACCAUUUACGUAUACGUAAGGAAUCGUAGAAACGAAGUCUUACAAAUUGGACAAGUCUCAAGUGCCACAGUUGUAGUUGUCAUCUACUCAAUGUUUUUUUCUACUCAAACUAUUACUCAAAAAAAAUCCUGGCUAUUACACCAAGUGUACGAUUAUAACUUCUAUAACACAUAUGACGUCAAAAUAGUAUCGAAGAGCGGACACAAAACAAUGAGUUCUUUGGUGUUACUUCUUUAGAUUCAGCAUGUACCAUAAAGAGACAUUUUAACUUGACGACGACGUACUCGGUCUUCGACUACUACUCGACUUUAGAUGGUAAACACAACUCCGAACUCUGUGUGAGUAUAACAAUUAAAGAACGGGAUUUUUAACAAACAGAUGACUAACGGGAGUUUUGAAAAACAGAUGAUGAACGGAUGAGUUAAAAAACAUGUAUACAUGUACACACACCACUUGACCACCUAAGUACGGUCUUAAAACGUAACACGAAUGUUCAGGAAUCUCAGUAGAUUACGGUUUAUUAGACGACCCGUCUGUGUUAACUAAAUACACUUUAUCAUCUACUCAUAUUUUAAUUAAAUCGAUCUCACAACCGUACUAGAGUAACACAAGGUACUUGAAACAACAAGGUAUAGAUUAUUAAUAAUGUGUAAAUAUCUAUUCUUUUUAUAUGUGUCUACAAGUAUGAAUCUAGGUGAACGAAAUCAAGAACUGAUAGGAACUACGAGUAAGUGAACAACUACAAGGAACCAAUAGACACUACCUGCUCCCCCCUCUUCCCUACCGUCUCCUCCAAAUGUUAUAUAUCCUGCUGUUUAAUGUACUACGUUCCUUCUACUCCUCCUUCCUACUUUACAUCCAGUCUACCCCUCAUGGACAUGUCUAGUUUCGUGGCGGCGGCAGCGAACGACCAAGAGGGCUCGGUACCGGCCAGGUUUUAAGAUCGGCGGCGCCGGUGGAGGUUAAACAAGUAUUCCCUCUCCCAAGCCCCGGCUACGGUACCAGCGGCAGAACCCACAACCACCGACGAUGUGGUGGCAAGCACCGAAAACACGAGCGCUCCAACUUCCGUACCUACGAAGUAAAAUCUAUACCUUAGUAACUACUAACUAAAACAUAUACUUGACUAACUACGAGCGGCAGAAAUUAAUAAAAAUUAACUAUUAACUUAUCUAACUAGGACCGGUGCCAUACUUAUCUAUAGAAUCUUUUCAACAUUAACACUUUCCUUUCUCACCUAUCGCUAGCUAACAUCAUGCACUCCCUGGGUACUAGAGAUGUCUAUUAUAAAGUAUUGUUUAAUUCAUCCAUGUAUUACGAAAGUAUU
rnacentral:rRNA from 1 species